UACAGAGACCUCAAGCGUUAUCCGGAUUUACUGGGCGUAAAGCGUCCGCAGGUGGUUCGUUAAGUCAUUUGUCAAAUCCCGGUGCUCAACACCGGAACUGCGAGUGAUACUGACGGACUUGAGGCUGGAAGAGGUAAGGGGAACUGCUGGUGUAGUAGUAAAAUGCGUUAAUAUCAGCAGGAACACCAAAGGCGAAGGCACCUUACUGGGACAGUCCUGACACUCAGGGACGAAAGCGUGGGGAGCAAAACGG
rnacentral:rRNA from 1 species